UAUGCUCUGUUAGUAUUUAUUGUAAGGGAGAUAAUCAUUUCUAGAUUAUUCAUGGUGAGGUUAGAAGUUUGAAUUUUAAAUCGAAGAAUAACGAAGAUGCG